GUACUCGCUUCAGCAACACAUAUACUAAAAUGGGAAUGAGACAGAGAAGAUGAGCAUGGCCCCUGCACAAGGAUGACAUGCAAAUUCAUGAAGCAUUCUGUAUUUUU
ensembl:snRNA U6 U6 spliceosomal RNA